UACGGAGGGAGCUAGCGUUGCUCGGAAUCACUGGGCGUAAAGCGCACGUAGGCGGAUUGUUAAGUCAGGGGUGAAAUCCUGGAGCUCAACUCCAGAACUGCCUUUGAUACUGGCGAUCUCGAGUCCGGGAGAGGUGAGUGGAACUGCGAGUGUAGAGGUGAAAUUCGUAGAUAUUCGCAAGAACACCAGUGGCGAAGGCGGCUCACUGGCCCGGUACUGACGCUGAGGUGCGAAAGCGUGGGGAGCAAACAGG
rnacentral:rRNA from 1 species